rnacentral:rRNA from 1 species
UGAACGCUAGCGGCAGGCCUAACACAUGCAAGUCGAGGGGUAACAGAGAGAAGCUUGCUUUUCUGCUGACGACCGGCGCACGGGUGAGUAACGCGUAUACAAUCUGCCUUAUACAGAGGGAUAGCCUUUAGAAAUGAAGAUUAAUACCUUAUAGUCUAUUUUUAUAGCAUUAUAUAAAUAGUAAAGCUUCGGUGGUAUAAGAUGAGUAUGCGUCCUAUUAGUUAGUUGGUAAGGUAACGGCUUACCAAGACAACGAUAGGUAGGGGCCCUGAGAGGGGGAUCCCCCACACUGGUACUGAGACACGGACCAGACUCCUACGGGAGGCAGCAGUGAGGAAUAUUGGACAAUGGAGGCAACUCUGAUCCAGCCAUGCCGCGUGCAGGAAGACGGCCCUAUGGGUUGUAAACUGCUUUUAUAUAGGAAGAAACCUUUUCACGUGUGAGAAGCUGACGGUACUAUAAGAAUAAGGACCGGCUAA